UUGAACGGUUUGUACGUUAGUGAUUUCUUUCAGAAGCAGGAUUCUGCUCGCGUUGAUUGUUUUGCUGUAAUGUUGUCCUACUCUGCUACUGUGUCUGGCUCAUUUCCUACUCUGCUACUGUGUCUGGCUCAUUUCCUACUCUGCUACUGUGUCUGGCUCAUUGGGAAGACAUCGCAUAGCAGUUUUGUUAUGAGUUUGGGUCAGAAAGCAAACUAGUUCUUGAUUCAUGAGACCCUUCUGGAUGGUAGGGUUGCGAUUGGCUCUGUGAGAUCUCUGACGGUGCGUUCUGAUUGGCUCUGUGAGAUCUGACGGCGCGUUGUGAUUGGCAGGGUGGCAGAGUCGACAGAGGAAGUGACCAAGCUGAGGCCGGUCAGACUGAUCCGAGAGGACGGAAUCAUCCGACCUUACGACCAGGAGGACGCCAAGGGUUACGACCUAUUCCAGAGGUCAGAGAUCAAGCAGCUGGAAGGAGAGAUCUUCAGACAACACUGUUUGUACCCUGGGCACAGGAAGACCAACGUUAUAGUGACCAACAGGAGAGUGAUGUGUGUGAAGGAGGUGGAUUUUGUGGGACACUUCAACAAAGAGUGGGAGUGUCUGUGAGAA